UAGCCGUAAACGAUACUCGCUAGGUGUCGGCCACGGUGCGACCGUUGUCGGUGCCGUAGGGAAGCCGUGAAGCGAGCCACCUGGGAAGUACGGCCGCAAGGCUGAAACUUAAAGGAAUUGGCGGGGGGAGGCACCACAACGCGUGGAGCCUGCGGUUUAAUUUGGAUUCAACGCCGGACAUCUCACCGGGGGCGGACAGCAGAAUGAUGGCCAGGUUGAUGACCUUGCUUGACAAGCUGAGAGGUGGUGCAUGGCGUAGUCGUGU
rnacentral:rRNA from 1 species